rnacentral:snRNA from 1 species
GGAUGUGAGGACGAUCUGGCUGCAACAUCUGUCACCCUAUUGAUCGCCGGGGUUGAUUCGGCUGAUCUGGCUGGCUAGGCAGGUGUCCCCUUCCUCCCUCACUGCUCCAUGUGCAUCGCUCCUGAAGCUGUGCGCUCCAGUGGGUCGAAGAGGAUGACCUUCCCCAAAUAGAGGAGGACCGGUCUUCGGUCAAGGGUAUAUGAAAAGCUGCACUCCCCUGCUAGAACCUCCAAACAAGGCCUCACACUGACUCUUUAAAAGAGUAGUAGCAUCUUGAGAACCUCUAGGCAUGGCAUUGAAUUCCACUUCCU